rnacentral:rRNA from 2 species
GAUUAGGGCGGACGGGUGGUAACGCCUGGGUAACCUGCCCUAAGACUGGAAUACCUCCGGGAAACCGGGGCUAUUACCGGAUAAGUUUUGAACCGCAUGGUUCGAAAUUGAAAGGCGGCUUCGGCUGACGCUUAUGGAGGACCCGCGUCGCAUUAGCUAUUUGGUGAGGUAACGGCUCACAUCCGCAACUAUGCUUAGCCGACCUGAGAGGGUGAUCGGCCCACUGGGACUGAGCACGGCCCAGAUCCUACGGGAGGCAAUAUUGCGGAAUCUUCCGCAAUGUCUGACGGAGCAACGCCGCGUGAGUGAUGAAGGUUUCGGGUUUAAAACUCUGUUGUUAGGAGAACAAGUGCUAGUUGAAUAUGCUGGCACCUUGAGGUACCUAACCAGAGCCACGGCUAACUACGUGCCAACAGCCGCGGUAAUACGUAGGUGGCAAACGUUAUCCGGAAUUAUUGGGCGUAAAGCGCGCGCAGGUGGUUUCUUAAAUCUGAUGGGAAAGCCCACGGCUCAGCCGUGGGUCAUUGGAAAU